AUAAAUUGUCUGAAAUAAGUUUAAACUUUCAACGAACCGAGAUCAAACUUAUGAAUUACCUGUCGGAACUUAUGACAUAUAUUUGGAUAAUGAACCUAUUUUGCAAAAUGUUGAAUUUCUCGUCACAAGUUUCAAAUCUUCAGUCACUUCAAUACCUUUAAAGAUCUGAAACAGUAAACAAAUAUUUUUUUUUCUUAUUUUACUCUUAUUCAUAUAAUGUAUAUUAUAUUUAGGUUUAAAAAAUUGAGCAUUAUAAACAUUGUGAACAGC